rnacentral:lncRNA from 1 species
AGGCCUUCCCUCAGCAGAAUUAUGCACAGCCAGCAGCCGCUGCCGCUGCCACUGCCGCUUUGACUCCAGCACCACAAGCUACAACUGUUCCUCCUACAGCUUAUUACGGCAGUUACUAUUGAAAUGGCAAAGUUUUCUGCGUCAAUUUUUUUGCUGGAUGUAGUUUGUAUCUUCCCCUCAACGGCCAGAAUAUGUUGCAAUACCAUGAGUUCUUCUACAUGGUUGUAAUUUGAUUUAAUGAGCAGUCGGAUAGGAAAUUGAGCAAUCUAGUGAUGUCUUACCUUAGGCUGUUUGCUUUUCUCUAAUUAAUGUACCAUACUUUUGGUUUUAACAUGCUAGUAUGCAGGAAAAAAUCUGUCGCAAAGAUGUUAUGUUUUCCCUGUCCCAUUUCUAGUCUCUGUAGGAGUAAUUUUAUAUUGCAGAGUGCAUGAUUUUCUGCCACCAGGAAGUGCCAAUUAAGGUUACUGUAUUCUUACUUUCAGAGGGUAUCUUUGAUUUUUCGAUAGCAUGAAAAGAUGACUGGCUUAUAAUGAAUCGCACGAAAGUGGGAUGUUUUGGUGAGGAGGGGUGUAAGUUGCUUUCAACCGGUUCGCUUUGGCGCUUGUUUGGCUAUACCUAUCUAAAUGAAAGGCAACUUAAUACGUUGGAAGAAAGUAGCUUUUAGUUUUGGGGAAAAAACAAUAGCAC